GGCCCGGUAGCUCAACGGUAGAGCAGUAGCCUUUUAAGCUAUUGGUUCUGGGUUCGAAUCCCAGCCGGGUCACCC
rnacentral:tRNA from 1 species